GUGGAAUGUUUAAGGUAAUUGUAUUUGGGAUUAAUUGGAGUAUUGAAAUGAUGAUCAAAUGUGAAAUGACACGUUCACGUUACAAUGACCGAUGUUUAUUCACAACAUUGUCAGGCCAGAUAACCAUGUCCAUGUUUGACUUGUGUCAGUGACCAUGUGAUUCAAGGCUUCCAUUGCUGUGGAGUGCAUUGAACGACAUCAUGGCCUAGAAGAACAUACCCGGGGAUAAUACCAGCAGCAACAAGUAUCACGCAACCGCCAAAAUGCACGCCGCCAUUUUGAAGCAUG